GUUUGUGGACAUUGUUGUCUAUUGAUUUAUUGACACCAAUGUCAAUAGAUUCCCUCAACUGAGCUGUGGAUCUCUGUUACCAGAGGCUGCUCCUCUGAUUAAUGUCUUAGCAGGUCCAGAGCUUGGCAUACAUUUCAUAUGCAAAAGAACAUUGUUUCACAUAGACACACAGUUUGAAACAGAGAUCCUGAAACAUUGUUUACACAACAGUAUAACUCCCGCAAAAGUCCGACCUCCCUGUAUCCUUCCAAAUAUGUAUAUGCAAACGAAGACAUAUAAAUACAUUAAACCUCAGAGUUUGAACUAAUUAUAGUCAUACGCGCAUAGGAGCAACAAUCUAAUAAAGUUACGUUUACUGUAAACUGAGAAUAAAGUAGCUGGGAUACUGUUUUUAUAACCUAUCAAAGUUUGUGGUUGCAAUAUGUGACAAAAUGUGAAAUGGUUCAAGAGGUGUGACUCCUUCUCCCAAGCUCUGUAUGUUUGUGUGUUUUCAGUGGGCUGAUUAAGAGGUAGAGACCAUUUGCUGAAGAUGACAAGACAAGUGGCUUCAUAAAUCCAAUCAGGAGGACAAAUCAAAACCACUUAGCCUGUCCUCCGUCUCUCCUUCACUCCUGUCAUUCAAGCUCUGCACCUUUCCCAACCGUCAUCGUGCCAACCCCGUCCUCUUCGUAUUCCUAAUAGCCCUAUUUUUCAUGUGUGACUUUGAGUCUGGAGUCCGGAGAGAUGAACCUGCUGCUGAGGUGUGAAUGUCAGACUGUUGACCCAGCUAAAGGAAGGUUUGUUGCUUUAACUGUGAGGUCUACUUAGCCCUGGCUCAGUCCGUGUCUUUCAGCUUUCUACGCGCGGGACCAGAGGGAGACUCACUGAAGGUGCAGUUGUGCUCCACGUGUUUACCAAACGCCCGUCUCCUCCGCUCUGUUUUUCCGGGCAUCACAUGAAGAAAAGCACAGACUCAGACGUAAAUAAAAAAAUACUUGACAUAUGUAGAUUUGAAUGGCUUCUCAGCGUUAAUGUAAAUAUUUAUGACGACCCGUGUAUACUACGUCCUAGUCACAACGUUACCAGCAAAAAUGCAACCAAAGACAUUCCUCCCGAGGCUACUGUUAUGAAUUCCACUUUUUUUUUAAAAACCCGUUCCCACUCCUCCGAUUUCUCUCCCGGCUCCCUUCCCCCCACCGACCAGCUGCUGUUAGUGAGUCCACACUUGGUGCAAGGCUCCAUAUCUUUUAACAACCUUCACAUUCAUGAUUCCCACCGGGAAUGGCAUCCAGCUGGCCCCGCUCAAGAUGCUAAGACACGACCGUAGCGAAAACAUCAGCCCUCGCUCACACCGUGUUAUGAGCACAGUGCUUCUUUUUUUUCUCUUUUUUUUUUUUUACAAGCAGAGCAGAAAAAAGGUCAAAUAAAUCACCUUUUUUUUGAAAGACAGAGAAGGCAACAAAGUGAAAUCUGCUGGGUUGUGUCGAAUAAAUUUGCAAGAAAAAGGGUAAAAUGUAGUUCUCAUUACCUUGUUUUCAAUGAAGAGGGAGACAGAGAGGAUUGCACAUGAAACCAGCGCGGUGAAAUUAUGACCUUGCAGAGCCUGUUUGAGCGAGCCAAAGUUUCUGUUUGACAUACCAGGAGAUGUCACACAUUGUGACACGGGUUUCAUUUCUACAGCUUUGUCUUUUGCACCUUACAAGUGUGUAUUCUAAAAAAAAAAAGGUCUCACAAAGAGAUAACAAAUCCAAAGUCUUUUUCAGACCCACAAUUAGUUAACCGCCGUCAACGCAGCUUCGUGAGCAUUUAGCAUCGCGGGCCACAGUCCUUCCUUUCUGUGACCAAUGAGAUAGGUGUUAAAAUACCACAAAACCUAAGCUAACACGCUUAGGUUAGCCCGUGGACGCGCAUGUCCACACGCCCUGCAGCUCUCCGCAGCGUAACAGUCGUACUGAGAACACGAGUGGCUAAAUUCAAGGAGUUUCGUGAUAGCUCAUCCUGCAGAUCCCACAUGCGUCCACAGUGAAUGAAAACAAGUUGGCAUCCAACUUCAACAAACUUGAAAGGCUUACAUAUCAGCUGCUGCCGCCAUGUUUGGUGAUAACGCGAUUGAUUCGCAGGCUGGAGUAAACACCCUUUCAGCAGCUUUCUGCUUGUCGGCGUGCACCAGUCGGGGGGAGAUCGACUCCUGUUGUGCGAAUUAAAAACCAGUCGGGGUCAGACAAGCGUCUGUCACUCAUAGAGGAGGGAGUCGCUGCAUUGCACAGUGUCCUCACAGUCCACACGGAGUUGUCAGGAAGAGGCUGGUUCAGGCGAGAGCAAAGGAGGGAGAGGGAAACGCAACAAUGGAAAAGAAGGAGACCAGAGGCCUCUGAGUGAUGUCCCCGUGAGUGCUCUGGCCACCUCCUGAGAACACACCCAGGUUUCUCUUCCACCAGAUGACUUCAUAUCUAUUAACCCUGGGAAGAGAAAUCUGCUUGCCAAGAGCUGGGGACUGUUAAACUGAUUUCCUCGGGGAACGUCGAGGCAGACGGUCUGAUGGGAGCGCCGGGCCGCACUGUCGCCCUUUCUCUCCUCGCUCAGCUUCUGGGCCAAGCGGAUCCGAACAGAGCCUCCUUGUGGCUCCAGACACAAACAGGGGAGGAUGGACGUAGCCCGGUUAUCCUGCCAGGACCAGACGCUCUGGUGGUGCUCGGAGGAACCAGGGCGGCAUGGGCGCGCUGAGACUCACACACCCACGGAGGAGGCAUGCUCCAAAGCAUGCGCUCAGCUCCUGGCAGCUCCUGCACCCUGUCAAGUUAAUGGAUGGGCCUCUGACUCCAGUCUGCAUAUCCCCACUGUUCCCUCUCAUGUUGAAGCCCCGCGCCGGCGCAGCCCCAAUGGUUAUCACUACACCCCGCUGUCACGGUGCUGAAUACGGAGAAUGCCCCAGACUGACAGAAAAAGAAAGGCACGAACACAUGACUGAACACUAACACGUUGUAAGAUCAGAGAGUAGGGCACAUCACUUGUCACAAAGGUAAUUUGAAAUGUGAAGAGUUUAGCAAAAGUAACUUCAACAUGUUUAUAUUUUCUUUUAGCAUAUACACGUUUUGUCUUAAAAACCUUUAAACUUACACUGUGUUCAGUUUUGAAUGUUUGUUUUGCUCUUAAGAGUGCUCUUUCAGUAAAAGGAUAUUGGAGCGAUAAUCACCCAUGCUAGGUUUAAGAAAUGGCCCGAUAACCUUGGUUAAAAUGACCACAAUUUCACUGUUUACACGCAAGAUUUGAAAGGAAAAUGUAUAAACAGUAACAAUUAUAGCGCUGUCUAGAUCAUAAAAGUAUUGCUAUUUUUGUACAUAGAGCUGAGCACUAGCGUUAAUUCUUGCUAAAUUAGAGAUUAGUCUUGUUGUAAGCACGGGACAAGUUCAUUAGCCGUUUUUCAGUCAGCUGACCAGGCAGUGUGCAGCAAUACAUGUGGUGAGAGGCAGUGCGUUGUUCCAUAUACUUUGGAGUCGGGUGAGUAUUUUUUGUUGUUGUUGUCCAGGCUGUGAAAAGAGGAAAGCUGAUGGUGGCCAGACCUGUGUGUCUAUGAUAGUUGGUUUACCCCUGCCUGGCUGUAGUGGAGUCCCGUCCCAUUGAUGAGCCCUGAACCAUGACGAAAUGGCCUUCACGUACACCCCCCCAUCAGGACCCCUAAAACAACACGCGGUCAUCCAAAGAGAAACAGAUGCAACGUUCUGCACCAGCGCUGGCUGCCUUGUGCUUAUAACACACACACACACACACACACACACACACACACACACA